ensembl:rRNA 5S_rRNA 5S ribosomal RNA
AAGUCUGGCUAUAAUGCCCUGAACACGCCUGUUCUCUUCUGAUCUCAGAAGCUAAGCAGGAUCGGGUUUGGUUAGUACUUGGAUGGAAGAGAAAGAAUGUUACACACU